GAGGGUGUGGCUCAGUGGUACAGCACUUGCCUAGCAUGCACAAGGUCCUGGGUUCCACCCCCAGCACCAACA
rnacentral:tRNA from 1 species